UGGGUACAUGCCCGGAUGUUACACAUCAGGGGGCCUGAAGGUCACCAGGAACGUGGCUGGAAUCUGCCUGGGGCCCUGUCCUCCCCCAGCCCAGGCAGGGCUACCAAAUUUGGGCCUGUCCUCUCCUCCUGUCCUUAUUUGGUGCUCCAGGUGAUAAGGCUGAGGCAUAAAACGGGCUGUGGGCCCCUUGCAGCAACCAGGCGGCCACAGAGAGAGGAUGGUGAGUGUCAGGCCAGCAGGAAGGCGGGGACCCGGGGCAAGGCCGCAGCUGCCAAGCAGGCCCAGCGAGGCUCUUCCAAUGUCUUUUCCAUGUUUGAACAAGCCCAGAUCCAGGAAUUCAAGGAGGCCUUCAGCUGCAUUGACCAGAACCGUGAUGGCAUCAUCUGCAAGUCAGACCUUCGGGAGACCUACUCCCAGCUCGGGAAGGUGAGCAUCCCGGAAGAGGAACUGGAUGCCAUGCUGCAGGAAGGGAAGGGUCCCAUCAACUUCACGGUCUUCCUCACGCUCUUCGGGGAGAAGCUCAACGGGACAGACCCCGAGGAAGCCAUCCUGAACGCCUUCCGCAUGUUUGACCCCAGUGGCAAGGGCGUGGUGAACAAGGAUGAGUAAGUGUUCAAACAGCUUCUCCUGACUCAGGCAGACAAGUUCUCUCCGGCUGAGGUGGAGCAGAUGUUCGCCCUGACGCCCAUGGACCUGGCGGGGGACGUCGACUACAAGUCUCUGUGCUACAUCAUCACCCAUGGGGAUGAGAAAGAGGAGUGAGGGGAGCAGCCCCCAGGGUCACCACAAUAAAUGCUGUUUUCAAUCAGA